AUUGAACGCUGGCGGCAAGCCUAACACAUGCAAGUCGAACGAGUGGCGGACGGGUGAGUAAUGUCUGGGAAACUGCCUGAUGGAGGGGGAUAACUACUGGAAACGGUAGCUAAUCCCGCAUACCCUCGGAUUUUCCCAGAUGGGAGUAGCUAGUAGGUGGGGUAAAGGCUCACCUAGGCGACGAUCCAUAGCUGGUCUGAGAGGAUGACCAGCCAAACGGGAACGGAGACACGGUCCAGACGCCGACGGGAGGCAGCAGUGGGGAAUAUUGAAAAAUGGGCGCAAGCCUGAUGCAGCCAUGCCGCGUGUAUGAAGAAGGCCUUCGGGUUGUAAAGUACUUUCAGCGGGGAGGCGUUACCCGCAGAAGAAGCACCGGCUAACUCCGUGCCAGCAGCCGCGGUAAUUC
rnacentral:rRNA from 1 species